rnacentral:lncRNA from 1 species
GUCGCUGGGGGCGGGGCUUGCGGCCCACCUGUAGGUCCCGGUGCCACCUCGUCAGUGUCCCGAGAGAUCCCCAGAAGAACGAGAGGGCUGAACAGGGGACCCCACUGACGUCCGGUGGGCCGACUUUACGAUCCUUUAGGAUGAAGAAACUAAGACUCAGAGAAGACAAAUGACAUGCCCAAAGACACAUUGAUAAGAACGCAUCUGGUAGUGGUGUUCGAGUCCAGCGUUGCAGCAGAGAGAUGGGUAACUGUAUGGCCGAACAGCUGUCUUCUCGUGGAAGAAGGAGGCCAAUGUCCAGGAGUGGCAGGCAUACUGGAACUUGGACUUCUGUAGGCCAACCUGGGUUCCACUUGGUAGAUGGGGGUCUU